rnacentral:rRNA from 1 species
UACGUAGGGGGCAAGCGUUAUCCGGAAUCAUUGGGCGUAAAGCGUGCGUAGGUGGUUCGUUAAGUCGGAUGUGAAAGCCCUCGGCCAACUGAGGAAGUGCACCCGAAACUGGCGAGCUUGGGUACGAAAGAGGAUCGCGGAAUUCCCGGUGUAGAGGUGAAAUUCGUAGAUAUCGGGAGGAACACCGGUGGCGAAGGCGGCGAUCUGGGUCGAUACUGACGCUGAGGUGCGAAAGCGUGGGGAGCAAACAGG